rnacentral:rRNA from 1 species
AGUGAACGCUGGCGGCGUGCCUAACACAUGCAAGUCGAACGGAGUGGCGCGCGGGAGUGUAAUGUAUAGCUAAUCUGCCCUACACUAGAGGACAACAGUUGGAAACGGCUGCUAAUACUCUAUAGUGUAGGAUGUGGCUAUAUUGUAUCAGCUAGUUGGUGAGGUAUUGGCUCACCAAGGUUAUGACGAUUCACUGGGCUGGGAGGAUGAUCAGUCACACUGGAACGAAGCCACGGUCCCGACUCCUCCGGGAAGCAGCAGUAGGGAAUAAUGCUCAAUGGGGGAAUCCCUGAAGCAGCUUCGCGGCGUGGAAGAUGACACUUUUCGGUGUGUAGACUCCUUUUGUUAGGAAAACGGUACCUAACGAAUAAGCACCGGCUAACUCCGUGCCAGCCGCCGCGGUAAUAC